rnacentral:rRNA from 1 species
AUUGAACGCUGGCGGCAGGCCUAACACAUGCAAGUCGAGCGGAUGAAGGGAGCUUGCUCCUGGAUUCAGCGGCGGACGGGUGAGUAAUGCCUAGGAAUCUGCCUGGUAGUGGGGGAUAACGUCCGGAAACGGGCGCUAAUACCGCAUACGUCCUGAGGGAGAAAGUGGGGGAUCUUCGGACCUCACGCUAUCAGAUGAGCCUAGGUCGGAUUAGCUAGUUGGUGGGGUAAAGGCCUACCAAGGCGACGAUCCGUAACUGGUCUGAGAGGAUGAUCAGUCACCAUGGAAAUGAGACAAGGUCCAGACCCCUACGGGAGGCAGGAGGCGGGAAUAUUGGACAAUGGGCGAAAGCCUGAUCCAGCCAUGCCGCGUGUGUGAAGAAGGUCUUCGGAUUGUAAAGCACUUUAAGUUGGGAGGAAGGGCAGUAAGUUAAUACCUUGCUGUUUUGACGUUACCAACAGAAUAAGCACCGGCUAACUUCGUG